rnacentral:rRNA from 1 species
AAAUUGAAGAGUUUGAUCAUGGCUCAGAUUGAACGCUGGCGGCAGGCCUAACACAUGCAAGUCGAACGGUAACAGGAAACAGCUUGCUGUUUCGAUGACGAGUGGCGGACGGGUGAGUAAUGUCUGGGAAACUGCCUGAUGGAGGGGGAUAACUACUGGAAACGGUAGCUAAUACCGCAUAACGUCGCAAGACCAAAGAGGGGGACCUUCGGGCCUCUUGCCAUCGGAUGUGCCCAGAUGGGAUUAGCUAGUAGGUGGGGUAACGGCUCACCUAGGCGACGAUCCCUAGCUGGUCUGAGAGGAUGACCAGCCACACUGGAACUGAGACACGGUCCAGACUCCUACGGGAGGCAGCAGUGGGGAAUAUUGCACAAUGGGCGCAAGCCUGAUGCAGCCAUGCCGCGUGUAUGAA